ACAGUUUCCACAGCACAAGCUGAACACACAGUAACCAUUUUGGUCUACACAACAUAGCCCCAUUGAACAUAGACAAACCUAUACAUCACAUGAUCUGUGGUUUUUGGCCACAGAUUUUCCCAUCCCUGUGCAGUGUACUCAUCAGAACAACAUUCUUUCCUUUCUUUGACACAUAGGACACCAGGGACAUGUCAGCCAUGUACACAAACUUGGAAGACUUCACAGGCCUGUCCUUUGUAAUCAAUAGUGGAGGUGGGAGCUCAGACUUGUUUUUGCAAAUAGUUCCCACCAUGGUCAGCUUCCUCUUCAGGAGCUCCUGUCCCAGCUUGUGCGAGGUAAAAAAAAAAAAAAUUGUUGCACGUGAUAUUGUGUCCACUGAGCUUCUGAGUCAGGUCCAGGACAACUCUCAUCCCUUGAUUUAGCAGACUUGAGUGUAAACUCAUGUGAACUAACACAAAAGCAGUGUGCGGCCACUGAAAAUGUGUUCUGAUAUAUGUUCUUCACACAAAAUGAGCCGAGUGCAGAUUUCUGGGCUAUACAUGUGUGUUUGCCUUUGUGUGUCAGUGUGUACAUGACCCCCUGCCUGCAUGGAUGCAUGAAUGUGUGAGCACAUUUUGUCACAGCCAUUGUCAGGUGUAAUUUGGUGUUUACACUCUGUGCAUUUGUGAGUGGCCAAGUGUUGUUUAUGUCAAAAAUGGAGGAAGGCUGUUGUUGCUGCUGUUGUUGAGAAGUUCCUAAACUUUAGUUUAUGAAAUAAGGUGCUUAUCUCUCCACUUACUCUUUGUACUUCUUACAUUUUACUGUUUUGGAAGGGUCAGUUAUCAUGUUUUAAUGACAAAUAGCUUCAUCUCCAUCUAAUAAAACUGCAUGUUUCUGUACACAGGUAUGCCUACAAAAGGUGUUGGCACAAACAGUUUUUUAGUCUUUCUACUUAUUAAAAACAUAACCUAAAGUAGUAGUGCAUUAAGUUUGACGAAAACUCAGCUGUUUGUUUGCUGUGGCAAAACAUGAAAUUUGCUCAAACUACUGCAUAUACUGUAUGUGGUAUUCUUUCAGCCAGCUGGGGGCAUCUAUUUUACAUGAUUUACCAUCUGUUAGAUUGAUGUACAGUAUAUUAGACAAGUACAGGACUGUACCAAGUAAAUAUGAUUUAAAGUACUUCUUAAAUAAAAACAACAGCCCAUGUUGUUAUGAGUAACUGCAAAAUAAAGGGAUUUGGUUCUAGAACCCAACAGUAACUGACCAGUUGGGUCACAGUUCACUCUGAACCAACUGUUGAACACAAAAUUGUCUUCAAACCCCAAAUGAACAACGAAAUGAUGGCUUCAAAACAGUCAAGCUCUGUAUACAACGAUCUCCGCCUGGAGGGGAAAUUGAUGGAUGCAGUAAUCCGAGUUGAGGGUGUGGAAUUUAACAUCCAUAAGAUUAUUCUCUGCAACUGCAGCCCGUAUUUCCGAGCUCUCUUCACACGCUGCUCGGACCCAGAGAGGAAAGUCUUUAACAUCCCUGGCCUUUCUCCUCACACAAUGC